GAUGAACGCUGGCGGCGUGCCUAAUACAUGCAAGUCGAGCGAACAGAUGAGAAGCUUGCUUCUCUGAUGUUAGCGGCGGACGGGUGAGUAACACGUGGGUAACCUACCUAUAAGACUGGGAUAACUCCGGGAAACCGGGGCUAAUACCGGAUAAUAUGUUGAACCGCAUGGUUCAAUAGUGAAAGACGGUUUCGGCUGUCACUUAUAGAUGGACCCGCGCCGUAUUAGCUAGUUGGUAAGGUAACGGCUUACCAAGGCGACGAUACGUAGCAGACCUGAGAGGGUGAUCGGCCACACUGGAACUGAGACACGGUCCAGACUCCUACGGGAGGCAGCAGUAGGGAAUCUUCCGCAAUGGGCGAAAGCCUGACGGAGCAACGCCGCGUGAGUGAUGAAGGUCUUCGGAUCGUAAAACUCUGUUGUUAGGGAAGAACAAAUUUGUUAGUAACUGAACAAGUCUUGACGGUACCUAACCAGAAAGCCACGGCUAACUACGUGCCAGCAGCCGCCGUAA
rnacentral:rRNA from 1 species